rnacentral:rRNA from 1 species
GAUGAACGCUGGCGGCGUGCCUAACACAUGCAAGUCGAACGAAGCAUAGGGAAAGGGAGAUUCGUCAAACGGAACCUAUGACUGAGUGGCGGACGGGUGAGUAACGCGUGGGUAACCUGCCCCAUACCGGGGGACAACAGUUAGAAAUGACUGCUAAUACCGCAUAAGACCACAGUGCCGCAUGGCACAGGGGCCAAAACUCCGGUGGUAUGGGAUGGACCCGCGUCUGAUUAGGUAGUUGGCGGGGUAACGGCCCACCAAGCCGACGAUCAGUAGCCGACCUGAGAGGGUGACCGGCCACACUGGGACUGAGACACGGCCCAG